UAACCUUUAGCCACAAACAAGUAUUAAAGGCAACGCCUGCCCAGUGAAUAAUUAAACGGCCGCGGUACCCUAACCGUGCAAAGGUAGCAUAAUCAUUUGUCUAUUAAUUGUAGACCCGUAUGAAAGGCAAAAUGAGGGUUUAACUGUCUCUUAUAGUAAAUCAAUUAAACUGAUCUCCCAGUAAAAAAGCUAGGAUACCCCCAUAAGACCAGAAGACCCUGUGAAGCUUAAACUAAACUAUUAAACUCUAUAAUAACUACUUUCGGUUGGGGCGACCUUGGAAAAAAAAAGAACUUCCAAACACAGUGACUAAAUCACACACCACGGCCCACAAGCCCGCAAUUUAGACCCAGCACAGCUGAUAAUUGAACCAAGUUACUCCAGGGAUAACAGCGCCAUCUUCUUCAAGAGCCCAUAUCAAAAAGAAGGUUUACGACCUCGAUGUUGGAUCAGGACAUCCUAAUGGUGCAGCCGCUAUUAAGGGUUCGUUUGUUCAACGAUUAAUAGU
rnacentral:rRNA from 1 species